rnacentral:rRNA from 1 species
GGUAAUACGGAAGGUGCAAGCGUUGUCCGGAAUUAUUGGGCGUAAAGAGCUUUUUCUCACAUGAAUGACGCGUCUGCAGUGAAAACCCUAGGCUUAACCCCGGACCUGCCGGCGAUACCGGGGAACUAGAGUGGAGUAGGGGAGACUGGAAUUCCUGGUGUAGCGGUGAAAUGCGCAGAUAUCAGGAGGAACACCGAUGGCGAAGGCGGAUCUCUGGGGCUUUACUGACGCUGAGGGGCGAAAGCGUGGGGAGCGAACAGGAUUAGAUACCCUGGUAGUCCAUGACAUUUUAUUGUGGUGUCUUUUGGUGUGGGGAACAUUCCACGGUUUCCGGAGCGGUUACCUAACCUAUUAAGCUGCCCCGCCUGGGGAGUACGGCCGCAAGUGGUAAAACUCAAACGAAAUGUGACG